rnacentral:rRNA from 1 species
GCCGCGUGAAUGAUGAAGGUCUUAGGAUUGUAAAAUUCUUUCACCGGGGACGAUAAUGACGGUACCCGGAGAAGAAGCCCCGGCUAACUUCGUGCCAGCAGCCGCGGUAAUACGAAGGGGGCUAGCGUUGCUCGGAAUUACUGGGCGUAAAGGGAGCGUAGGCGGACUGUUUAGUCAGAGGUGAAAGCCCAGGGCUCAACCUUGGAAUUGCCUUUGAUACUGGCAGUCUUGAGUACGGAAGAGGUAUGUGGAACUCCGAGUGUAGAGGUGAAAUUCGUAGAUAUUCGGAAGAACACCAGUGGCGAAGGCGACAUACUGGUCCGUUACUGACGCUGAGGCUCGAAAGCGUGGGGAGCAAACAGGAUUAGAUACCCUGGUAGUCCACGCCGUAAACGAUGAGUGCUAGUUGUCGGCAUGCAUGCAUGUCGGUGACGCAGCUAACGCAUUAAGCACUCCGCCUGG